rfam:Lactococcus piscium MKFS47 genome assembly, chromosome: I
CUAUAUAUUAGAGGUUGCAAAUACGAAGAAUGAUAGUCGAGUGGUGGACACGAUGACAUUAUCAGGCGGCGUAGUUGCCGAAAGCAAGCUGAUACCACAGUCAGUUUGCUUGGGUCGUUGGGUUAAAUCUCGCGAACUGUCUCUUGUCUACUUACGAGGAGAUGAGAGGUGAGCUAAUCAAAUC